CCAAUACAGACUAUCCUCUUCCUCCUGACAUUUCUGUCCCUGGAUCAGAGCACAGAUAACUGCUAAGCAAGGCACUCUCCUCUCCUGCCAGACACCUGUUGAUUUAAUUAAGGCCUGAUGACACCAGAUGCUCUGGUGAACAGGUCUGCGUGGCCACAUUCAGAGCACCGAUGCCACUCCCCUGACGACCAGGAUGUACUGAGCGUCAGGUUGUGCGUGCUUCUGUGUGUCAGUAUCAGACACUGGGGACUGUGAGUAGGGGACAAAAUACCAGCCACAUGGAGAGUUACAGCAAAAGAGGCAACCUGCAGCUGCUGGCAACAACACCGCCCUUGAUCGCAUAGCGCUACAGAGGGUGGUGCGUACAGCCAUCCAGGACCUCUAUAUCCGGCAGUGUG